CCAUGCGACCACAAGAGGGAGCUGUGCGAGGGGGUCCUCCUGAAAGUGAUGCAGCUGACCUAAAGCAAAAUGCUGAGCACUGUGAGAGCUUGGAAACGUCCCAGGUGCCCAAAGACCUGCUGCCUGGGGUGGACGGGUGCUGGCCAUCUGCACUCCCAGAGCAAUAAAGGACUCGUAGGGCCCCUCCUCCAACAGCCACCUGGGAUGUGUAAACAGCCACAAGUGUACUCCCCUUUGGAAGCAGCAUAAUAACUUCCCUCUAGAAAGCUUUCCUCUCUCUGUACGACAGGUCCCUACAAGCCCCCUUCUCCGUGUUCGUAGCAGAUCUUUUGUUUUCUUGCUUGUUGAUUUUCCUUUUGCAAACAGGAUUGGGGGACCCAUUAUUUAAUGAAAACCUUUUGUCAAAUCCUAGGCUCUCUCUAGUGUUGAUUGCAUGUCUAGACAGACAGAUAGAAAUAACUGCCCGAGGGCAAGGACAACCUUAACUAAGUUGUCCAUUAACAGUUUUACAUUCUCCUAAAAACACUCCCACACCAGUCCUUUGUCUUGGCAUUUCGACAUUGUGCAAGACUCCAAAAUAAGUUGCUUCUCUGACCAGUGUUUCAAAUGUCCCAUUCACAACCACUGCGUUCAGAGAUUUCAACUUCCUUGAUAGGGAAUUAAGUCACAAAGGCCCAGACGGUUCUGAAAAACCCCUGUUAGACUGCCCGGGUCAUAAAGAAGCCUUGUAAACUGCUUUUGGAUGAUGAGGGUGGUGGGGAGCGAUAGAUUCUGCGUGGUGUCUGGUGGUCUCCUGAGUGCCAGGCAGGCCAGAGAAAAUUAGGGCCCUGAAGGAUCACUGGCCUUAAGAGCUUCUAUCCCCUGGUGACCGUGUUGCUGGGCUUGGCAACAUCACCCAUUUGCUGGGAUGUAAAAAUCAUUAGCGUUGGAGUCAGACAGACGUGGGCUCAAGAUCCAUCCGGCCUUUUCGGCAAGUUACUCACUUCUCAGACCUCAGUUCCCUCCUCUGUGGAGAGAAGGCUGUGAGCCUUGUUGAGAGGCUCAGAUGACACUAUGCCGCUAACGCCCCUAACGUGGAGCCCAGGCUCAAAGGCGCUUGGGGUCACCCCCCUCUCUAGUUCUAAAACUACCCUGCAGAAUGAGUUGAAAGCAGUAAGUAACUUAACACCACUAACGGCUGCACAGAUCAUUGGUGGUAAAUUUGAAAACAAAAGCUAUUCCUAUAAAUAACCGGUUCAGGUGUGCCAUGCUUUAAGAAAACCAAAUAUAAAGAUUAUUCAAAUAAAUCAGAUGUGAUGAUGACAUUGCUAAAGACUUCUUUGCUUCAAAAAACUGAUGUGCUAUAGGGACUCUUUGAAGAGAAGACUCUUUGGUACUGUUUACUGUUACUGGAGUUUCAUCCAACUUCUGAGGAAGGCAUGCUGUUCUAUUGUGAGGGGCACCUGUCCUCCGUAAACAGGAGUGGCACACCUCUCUAAAAGUUGUUGCGACAACUAGGUUUAUGGCUCAACUAUUUCGAAGCCAGUGCAUUUGAUAGCUGACAGUCUCUAGCUCUGCAUUUUGUAUGAUGUAUUCAAGCAAGUCUGUAUUUAAAGAUGUGUUUGACCAAUAUUAAAUCUCAGUUUCAUUAUGAAAUAAAGUAAAUAAAUUUAUUCUUUUCUCUCCCUCACAAAAGAGAGUUAUCCACUUUGCUAGACAUCAGACUAUACACAGUCUCUUACCUAUUCACUCUGAUAAGCACAGCCUCUUAGCAUGAAAUCAUCGAAAAAGAAGAUUCACCUCUCUUUGCUUUGGUGUGGGUUUAUAAGAAGUUACUAAUGCAC